rnacentral:rRNA from 1 species
UACAGAGGGUGCGAGCGUUAAUCGGAAUUACUGGGCGUAAAGGGCGCGUAGGCGGCGGGGUAAGUCGGGUGUGAAAUCUCAGGGCUCAACCCUGAAACUGCACUUGAUACUGCUCUGCUUGAGGACUGGAGAGGAGACUGGAAUUCACGGUGUAGCAGUGAAAUGCGUAGAUAUCGUGAGGAAGACCAGUGGCGAAGGCGGGUCUCUGGACAGUUCCUGACGCUGAGGCGCGAAGGCCAGGGGAGCAAACGGG